AUAAAACUAUUUUUUUGUUACGUGGAGAGAAUCCCACAUGAAUUCAUUGAUUCAAUGACCUCGAUUUACAUAAUUUUGUGAUAGACAAUAGAUUACAAACAGCUAACAAGUACUUCAACGACAAAGAGGGAAAGAAAGCAAACACAACAUGAACAGACUUGACGCGAGCAGAACAACAACAACCGAAUUCUUGAGGACCUGACCAUCAAACAGCGUACUUGUCGGCUAGCUCGUACCAAUGUAAACCACACUACCUAUCGCACAAACGCUGCAUAGUUGUCUCCCUCCAUUGCGCACAUCAAGGGCAGAAAUCCUUGAAGGGAUGAGGGACCAGCCAACUAAGGGGGGUUAAGAGUGAAGAAGCACAUCAAUUGAAACUUGCCAAAGAACAACCAUCUCCCUUGAAAUUGACGACGAGCACCCCAUAAACAUCACAUCCAAGCAUCAUAAAUCGUCAUCCAACUCCCUUAAAGGGAGGACACCUCUAAGUAGAGAGGGCAAGAUCAUAGGUCCACCUGGCAUAAGAAUGAUGUCAUCACCAAUAGGAGACGUAUGACGAAGCAAAGGUGUGACGAAGCAAAGGUUUGAAUGGCCACGCAACAGCCACAUCUAAUAUCGUCUGCAAGGCCAAGGCCAACAAAGAAGACAACAAAUAGGCAACCAUAAGGCGAGCAGGGACGAUAUAGGGCACCUCCCGACGCAUCGGGCGUGACGUUUUCACUGCACAAAUAUCACAUUUGCACAUAUUCCAGAUGACCUCGAGAACCGCCACCCGGCGCAUCGGGCGUGACGUUUUCACUGCACAAAUAUCACAUUUGCACAUAUUCCAGAUGACCUCGAGAACCGCCACUAAGAUCGGCUAGACAGAGGAGACACAGGCAUCCCGACUUUGCCUGCAAUAAGGACUAGAAGUGCCAUCAAGUUGAUGCUUGUAGAAAGCCAAGCAAGGCUUUCGCCCAAACCAACAUGGUUGUUGCUACAUGACCACCCGAACCUAAGGACACAAGGGUCGACGCAGCGGUCUGGGUGGUCGGAGGGCAAGGAUUCGGCGAAACAAUCAUAGAGAUCUUACCGGAGGUCAAGGGAAAAAGAACCUCUAUGGAGAAGACAGGGAACGGAGACAACAACUACAGUGGAGCACCGGUGGCAUAGGUCUAUUGCCGUAGGGAAGAACACAAAAGGUGGAGGGUAGGGGCUAGCAAGGUCUAGGCACAACCAUAAAACCGAAACCGAUGCGCGCAGAAGGUCCCUGCGAAGAGCCCAUCUCUGCUGACGAGCGCGAAGUCGAAGAGGGCCAGGAAGGUCGCGUCAUCGAGGAGCGCCACCACGCAGCAGUCGCGCGCCACAAAGGGCCCUGGCAACAUGUUGAGCCACACCACUACACCAGGGGGGGAGUCAUGCACGCGCGGGGGAGGUGGGGGUGGUCGUGGCCACCGGUCCUGCAGAAGAACACAAACCGGGCGACGGGGAGGAGAGGAGGUUGACGUGGCUUGAUCUGCUCGCAAAUCAGGGCAAAGGGCGCGCCGAAACAGUCAACGACCAAGGGGGACCAGAACCGCGGUGGCAUACCAGAUCCACCCACUGGUGGGUCGGAUCCACUCUAUGGCGCUUGAACUAGUCGUCGUCGAGGCACCGGCGACGAGGCGACAGCCGGGGCAGAGCUUGAUGGGGCUGGGCUGAGCCCCGCCACCACCCUCCUAGCACCGACGCGGGCCUCCCGGCCGCGUGCUCAGACGACAACGAGGUGGUGGUGGAGGCCGAGGGGUGUGGCAGCGGUGGCGCAAGAUCUCCGUCUGAGUUGCCCUUGGGAACGACGCGAGCGGCUGGGCCGGUGAAUGUUGCCCUCUUUUCGAAUCCAAAAACUAUUUUGGUAGAGUGAAACUUAGUUGUGCCAAGACGUAUCAAGAAACCAAACUGGUUUUCUUGUAGCGCAAAAUUGAAAUCACUUUUAGACCUGCUUUUAGAGUUGCAGGCAACCAGAAUUCUUUAUGCAGGCAGAACACAUAGGAGACUAGCAUUUCGUUACUAAUGUAUAGUGGCUUGUAUUCAUCAGACCAAAUCGAUCUAGCUCGGUCAAUCUUCAACGGUUAGUCACUUGAUGUAAAAUGCCAUGAACCAUACUGAAGUACUGAACUGAACCAUGCAUUAAUAACCAAAAAAAAACAUCCGUCAUCUCUAAUGAGAUACAUGCAUACAGGAUUAAUCGAUGAUGUCCUUUUGCACUUGCUUCUGCGAGUCCUAUAUUCAGACACAUUCGACCUCUAGACGAUCUCAAAUGACUCUGGAUCUUAAGGACGGGCAUGUUUUGUUUGGUCCAACGAGAUAGCCUCAUCGUCUCAUCUCACCUCACGCAAUGUUUUUCCUCUUCCUUUUGUUUUGUUCCAUUAAUUCAUUGUUGUUGGAGAAUGGAGACGGCGAGACGACGUGGUCACCUAUGCUGACAUGCAUGCAUGUGCGGCUCCCGUGCUCAUGCCUGAGCCCAACAACGCGGCAGCCAUAGCUAGCAAGCACGCACACGCCGGCGGGCCGGGGCAGCACCUCGUCGUCUGCCUUUCAACUCGUCAUCCUCGUCGCAGCACUACCUCCUGCCUCCCGCAAACACACAGGGAUCUGCGGCGAUGCAUGCCAGCAGCUCCAAUCGACGACGAUCGUCGUCGUCGUCGCCUUCCAUUCCAACCACCGAAGCGACACUAUAGAGUGCACUUUUCGUGGUGCGCCAUCGUCAGCCUCCAACGCGUCUAGCGAUCGCAGAAAAUGGAGGGUUCAGAUUUCAGAACAGCAGAAACCACAUGACCUGUGCAUGCGUCUAGAUCUGAAUGAUGCGUCCUCCAUUGCCGACCGACCCUCGGAGGCUCGGAGCUCUUCAUCGCACAGACACAGCCAGGUCUCGGUCCUCACGCGGCAAUGUACGUAAUGAUUUCCCCUUGAAACAUUUGAUGCAAGAAAUAUAUGCGUCCCCUCUGUCAAUCAAGAGAAUGUGCUACUUUCCCAUCUCUAAAAAAUAAAAUAAAAAAUCUGUUGGCAGCGCCUAUAAAUACAGACGCUUGCAUGUCGUAACAUCCAGAGCCCGACUCGUACCGCAUCACCCUACCUCCGAUACUGGGAAGAAACUUGCUCGGUCGGAGUCGGAGCUGCCAACAAUGUCGCCGCUGAGGCUGUCAGUCCUCCUUGUGCUCCUGUCCAGCCUCUUGGCCCCUUCCACUGCCCUGCGCAGCUCGACGCUGCUCCUGGCGCGUUCUCCUCAGUCCGUGUCGCUCAGUGCCGUUCCCGGGACACCGGUCACCGCAUGGGCGGCCACCCUCGCCGCCCAGACGGCGUCCGACGCGGCGCGCGCAGCCACGCUCGCAACGGGACCCCGGGACCCGCCGCCGGCCAGUGCCGUGGACGCCGCCAAGAAAGGGCCGCGCCGGUCCUUCGUGCCGAUCGCUCCGGGCCGGCAGCUUCUCAGCAUCCCCAGCUACGUGGCCCGCGCGCGCCUCGGCACGCCGGCGCAGGCGCUCCUCGUGGCCAUCGACCCCAGCAACGACGCCGCGUGGGUGCCGUGCGCCGCCUGCGCGGGCUGCGCCCGGGCGCCGUCGUUCGACCCGACGCGGUCGUCCACGUACCGCCCCGUGCGCUGCGGGGCGCCGCAGUGCUCGCAGGCUCCCGCCCCGUCGUGCCCAGGGGGCCUGGGCUCGUCGUGCGCGUUCAACCUGUCGUACGCGGCGUCCACGUUCCAGGCCCUGCUCGGGCAGGAUGCGCUGGCGCUCCACGACGACGUGGACGCCGUCGCGGCCUACACGUUUGGGUGCCUCCACGUCGUCACGGGUGGCUCCGUGCCGCCGCAGGGGCUCGUCGGCUUCGGCCGCGGGCCGCUCUCGUUUCCGUCGCAAACCAAGGACGUGUACGGCUCCGUCUUCUCCUACUGCCUGCCGAGCUACAAGUCUUCCAACUUCUCCGGCACGCUCAGGCUCGGCCCCGCCGGGCAGCCGAAGAGGAUCAAGACGACGCCGCUGCUAUCCAACCCACACCGUCCUUCCCUCUACUACGUCAACAUGGUCGGGAUCCGCGUCGGCGGCAGGCCCGUGCCAGUACCGGCGUCGGCCCUCGCGUUCGACCCGACCAGCGGCCGCGGCACCAUCGUCGACGCCGGGACGAUGUUCACGCGGCUGUCCGCGCCCGUGUACGCCGCCGUGCGUGACGUGUUCCGGAGCAGGGUGCGAGCGCCGGUGGCAGGCCCGCUCGGUGGCUUCGACACGUGCUACAACGUGACCAUCUCCGUGCCGACCGUCACCUUCUCGUUCGAUGGGCGGGUGUCGGUGACGCUGCCGGAGGAGAACGUGGUCAUCCGAAGCUCCUCGGGCGGCAUCGCGUGCCUGGCCAUGGCUGCGGGACCACCAGACGGUGUCGACGCUGCGCUCAACGUGCUGGCCAGCAUGCAGCAGCAGAACCACCGCGUGUUGUUCGACGUCGCCAAUGGCCGCGUCGGUUUCUCGCGCGAGCUCUGUACGGCCUGAAAUCAGUGGAGCCAGGCUAUGGAUUGGAUGGAGUAUUGUGUGUACUACUCCAGUAUAAAAGCAUGUUUGGUUCACUACCUUAGUUGUCACACUUUGUCCAACUUUUCUGUCUAAGGUUAGUUAUUCAAUUCGAACGACUAACCUUAGGCAAAGUGUGACACAUUUAGCCACAAACCAAACAGGCCCUAAGUGUUUCAGAUUCCUGUGGCGCACUAGCGCCGUGAGUUCAAUGUCUCGUUCGUUGCUGUCAGUGCUUGGAAAGUGGAUUUACUGAGUUGUUGGGUUCUGCUGACUACAAUUUUGUGUCACACCGGUUGUUUAAAUAUUAAUUAGAUUAAUUAAAAAUAAUUACAUAGCUAAAAACUAAACAACGAGAGUAAGAGACAAUUUUUAAAAGCCUAACUAAUAUAUGAUUAAUACAUUUUUAAUGUAGCAUCACAUUGACUAAUCAUGGAAUAAUUAAACUUAAUAGAUUCGUCUUCGUCUAUAUUCGAGAAAAAACAUUUCUAUUCUAGGAGUUUCGAUAACAAUACACUACAAAGAUACUAACUAAAUCUAUAUAGUCUAAUAAAUAUAAUCCUCACUGGAAGUUAUAUCUCUUUAUACAAGGUGUCCAUAUCAUCCCCCCCCCACUAAAUGCCUCACCAACUUGCAUUCCUUUCACCAAGCUAUCCAUAAUUAUGUAUACCAUCUUUAUUAUGUACAAUAUUAAUUUGAAAUACAGCUUGUAAUAAAAGUAUAGUGCACUGUAAUAUAAUGUACAUAGUACUUAGGGCACUCCUAGUUUCAAUGUUUAUUAAUUUUCAUAACAAUUAAGACAAGCAAAAUGAUGAUGUAGCAUUAUAAUUAGGGAAGAAAAGAAGGAAAUCGUCUCUUGAAUAAGAGAUUAUAUCAACACAAAACAAAGAUAUAAAUAAAUGUGACGGGUCGAUAAUAUUAGAGAGACCAAAUGUAAUUGGAUAAUUUUUUUUAAAUAUGGUUUUUCUAUGUAGUACUUAGAUAUAUUUGUGGCUAGGGCUGUUCUUGUAUAACAGCCUAGCCAAUAAGAGUUUGGAUUCAUCUGGGAAAUAGUUUGUCGUCUAAUUUUAUCAUCUUUGUCGUCUAAUUUUAUCAUCUUUGACUCCAAACAGGCUGGUUAAUAAGUUAGAUAAUUGUUACCCGGAGGUCUGAUAAAUUAUUUGCCCAUUAACCAUUUGACCUUACUAAUAGGUGCUAAUAGGUCAUGAGAAGAGAAAAAUGACAUCUAUAAACCAAGACUCUAAAUAUACCUUAGCCAAUUGUUGGUAGCUAAUUAUUUGCCGGCAAAUUGUUAGCCAGUGACAAAAAAAUAUUUAGAAGGAUCCAACAUGGCCUUGAUUUUAUGAAACAAUACAUUACUUUAAUUGACAAAUCAGUGGAGACUGUCCAAGACUAGAAUAUUCAUCAGUGCGACUUUAGUGUAAAAGUCUGAAUACCUUUUGGGCAUAGAGAUGGCAUGUUUAGUGUAAAAGUCUGAAUAUCGGUCAGCAGCUCGGUUAAAUUCAUGGGCCUUCGGACGUUCAUGGCCUAAGUAGACUUCUAUCUGGGCCUAGGCCUGGGACACUACCGCUGCCUUGGUUUUGGUUCGGAUGAUUCUGCAGACCAGGCCUGGCUUAAACCCAUGGGCUUUAUGGAAAGAGAAUAAGAAUAAAAUUUAUGUUUCUAUUAAUUAUCAGUAUCAAAAUAAAAUCCGGUACCGAGAGUUUUUAGGCAAGGAGUAGAUCAGCCUGCACACAAGUCUACCGAUAGUUGCGUUUCCAGCAACCCUCUAAAAAAUUUGAAUUAUCUAUAUCUUUUCCAUCUCCAACAACGUCAUCUAAAUUUAAUCCUCUAUAUCUUAUCUCAUAUAUUUUACCCACGAUAUUAAUAGAAAAUAUCAGAAAUUGAUUCUUGUUUGGACGUAACCCUAUCCCCAAAUUCCCCAAACCAGUGUAUGUAUUCUUCUCCUAGUUUGUUCUCCAAGUCCCAACUACAGCUUGCUGCUCCAAAAUCUGUUGCAUCGAGCUUCUUCCCCCGGCAGCAAUGGCGUCCCUUUGCGGACUCCACACUCGGCGAGGCCAGGACGUUCAUGGAGGCCUACCCAAGCUUCAUGACCAUGUCGGUGCUGCCUCCAACGUGCGGAUGCAGAUGCUGCGGUCAGGUGCGCGCGACACAGCGGGGAAGCUCUGCCCUGACGGCCAUGGCGCGAUGGUUCUCCUGCUGCCUCGAGUGUGCGGUUGGGCUCCCUCUAUAUUUUAGAGGACAUUUUACCGUUUGUUGUUAGAGGCAUAGAGAACACUAACAGCCGCUAAAUUUACCAUAGCGGAUGCUUUAGCGUCCCUUGCUGCAGACAACAUAAAGUUGUGGCCUUGCACUGAGAGCAAAUAUAAUAAGGUAAUAUCGGCAAACUAUAAAAGAUGUCAGAUCCGUUUUUUGACGAUACGGAAGAAAAAUAAUAAAAGACAGAAAUAAAGUGAGAUACUCAUCACUAAUAGCCAUAGACUCCAAGACACUUUGUGAGAGUAGGAGAUAGAGCAAUUAUUAAAUGUAUAGCUUGUAUAUCAAGAAAGGCUGUUAUAUGGUAGCUUUUAGUUGGCUAUAUGUGGUGUGGUAAUAUCAUAAAGGGACCAUAUCUUGUGUACAAGCCGCACCCUCGGUGAAUAAAUGCACAAAUCCGAUUUGGACCCUCAAUCCAACAAUCAACGAUUAUUAGCGUAGUUUGUUUCCUUGCAAAUAUGCAGAUGGGCACGAGGAGAGAAGCGUGGAUGAUUUUUUUUUGUUGCAAAAAACACAUCAGUCAAUGAUUGUUGGAUGAAAGGUCUGGAUUUGAUUUGCGCAUUUGUGCACUAUGGUGCCUUGUGUAUAGGACACGGUGCUUAUCAUAAAACCUAUUAAACUUGCUCUCAGGCAACUGCAGGUCUCAGGUUAUGUACAAACUAGAUAUUAUGUUGCGAUUCUCUAAGCAGUAGAUACACAUAAGAAACGCAUUCUUACAAUCCAGUAUAUCUAAGCCUCAUAUCUUAUUAAGUAGAAACCCUUAAGAUACCUUUCAUUUAUAUGGUUUGUAUGAGUGUAAUUGUAUUUUAGAUAUGAAGAACCGUGCUAGAGACGUUCAUUCACCAAAAUAGGAUCUCUUGGCAUUAGACGCCUCUUAAGAUACAAAUCAUGUGGGUUGUACAUGCCCUCUCGGAGGUUCUAAGGAGGAGUUAAGGGGUGUUUGGUUUGAGGAAUCACUUCAUCCAAAAUGUGGUGAUGUAUCAUAGGUCCAUUCCUCAAAUUUGGUGGGAUGACCUCAUUCCUCAUAUUAGUACUAACUAAAUAACUAUAAGGAAUGAGGUGAUGACGGAUCAACUCAAUCCAUUCCACAAACCAAACAAAAAAGUGAGGAGUGAGAAGACGAUGGACUAGAUCAUUCCUCAAACCAAACAUCUUAUAAAAGACCGGGGUAGGCAAUCCUAAUUAUCUUAAGAUGAAAGGAUAUUGCGGGUUGUUUCAGACAUGGUUCUAACAUAUGAGCCCUUGAAGUCGGCCACUCAGCGAUAGUUUGAUAAAAGAGUUUUAUACAACAUAUUACACUCCCUCUGUACGCAUGAGUUGGUCUUUUUAGUUUUAUCCUAAAUCAAACUAAUUAAACUUUGACCAACAACAUGUAUAAGAAUAUAUUAUGUUGAACUAAAUCAUUACAUAUUACGGUAGUUCAAGUUAUGAUAAGUCUAUUAAUUUUAAUUUUAUGUUGUACAAUCUUAUAAAAUGUUUUAUAUACUCGGCCAUAGUUGAUAGUGAUUAAUUUAGUAUAAACCCGAAAAGACAAACUCACGUGGAGGAAGUAUUUCAGUUAUUCUAACACUAAAUCAGUAAUUGGAUGGGAAGCGGGAGUAGCUCAAGUUUAAAAAAAAAUAGCCAGCUUCGUCGAUACGGUGGAUUAAUAAAGACAGGAAAACUGCUGUCCGGAGGGAGGGCAAUAUAGAGCGGUACCGGGCGUCAGUGGGUAGCAUAGCAGCAGGGUCCCGGGCGGCGCUGAGACGACGCCGGCGGUCACGUGACGGGGGACAGGCACUGAGGCAGGUUAUCGUGGCGCAGGAACGCCGUCCGUACCGUACGGUGGGGCGGUGAGGGGAGGGGGGACUCGCGAGGCCGCGCAGCACGGAGGAGCCGGACGGCCGAGCGCAGAAGCAGCGGACAGGACAGGCCUGC
rnacentral:lncRNA from 1 species